GACGAACGCUGGCGGCGUGCUUAACACAUGCAAGUCGAACGGAAAGGCCCUGCUUUUGUGGGGUGCUCGAGUGGCGAACGGGUGAGUAACACGUGAGUAGCCUGCCCUUGACUUUGGGAUAACUUCAGGAAACUGGGGCUAAUACCGGAUAGGAGCUCCUGCUGCAUGGUGGGGGUUGGAAAGUUUCGGCGGUUGGGGAUGGACUCGCGGCUUAUCAGCUUGUUGGUGGGGUAGUGGCUUACCAAGGCUUUGACGGGUAGCCGGCCUGAGAGGGUGACCGGCCACAUUGGGACUGAGAUACGGCCCAGACUCCUACGGGAGGCAGCAGUGGGGAAUAUUGCACAAUGGGCGGAAGCCUGAUGCAGCAACGCCGCGUGCGGGAUGAAGGCCUUCGGGUUGUAAACCGCUUUCGCCUGUGACGAAGCGUGAGUGACGGUAAUGGGUAAAGAAGCACCGGCUAACUACGUG
rnacentral:rRNA from 1 species